GUCCCUUGUUGGACAUUUGAUAAAUUUGAAACGAUACUGAGAAGAUUAGCAUGGUCCCUGUGUAAGAACGACACGUUUAAAACGAGAAAUGGUUAAAAUUUUA
rnacentral:snRNA from 1 species